rnacentral:rRNA from 1 species
CUGCGGCAGCGAACGUAUCACCCAAGACAACUUUACGGAGUUGACGAUUGACGGAGCGAAGCGACGUCAAAGCGUUCAUUAAAGUCGAGUUGGCUUAGGGAUACGUUCGUUGGGUAGGGGAGCGUUCUGUAAGCCUGUGAAGGUGUGUCGUGAGGCAUGCUGGAGGUAUCAGAAGUGCGAAUGCUGACAUAAGUAACGAUAAAGCGGGUGAAAAGCCCGCUCGCCGGAAGACCAAGGGUUCCUGUCCAACGUUAAUCGGGGCAGGGUGAGUCGACCCCUAAGGCGAGGCCGAAAGGCGUAGUCGAUGGGAAACGGGUUAAUAUUCCCGUACUUGGUGUUACUGCGAAGGGGGGACGGAGAAGGCUAUGUUGGCCGGGCGACGGUUGUCCCGGUUUAAGCGUGUAGGUGUGUGUUCCAGGUAAAUCCGGUUCACUUUAACACUGAGGCGUGACGACGAGGCACUACGGUGCUGAAGCAACAAAUGCCCUGCUUCCAGGAAAAGCCUCUAAGCAUCAGGUAACACGAAAUCGUACCCCAAACCGACACAGGUGGUCAGGUAGAGAAUACCAAGGCGCUUGAGAGAACUCGGGUGAAGGAACUAGGCAAAAUGGUGCCGUAACUUCGGGAGAAGGCACGCUGACACGUAGGUGAAGUGAUUUACUCAUGGAGCUGAAGUCAGUCGAAGAUACCAGCUGGCUGCAACUGUUUAUUAAAAACACAGCACUGUGCAAACACGAAAGUGGACGUAUACGGUGUGACGCCUGCCCGGUGCCGGAAGGUUAAUUGAUGGGGUCAGCGUAAGCGAAGCUCCUGAUCGAAGCCCCGGUAAACGGCGGCCGUAACUAUAACGGUCCUAAGGUAGCGAAAUUCCUUGUCGGGUAAGUUCCGACCUGCACGAAUGGCGUAAUGAUGGCCAGGCUGUCUCCACCCGAGACUCAGUGAAAUUGAACUCGCUGUGAAGAUGCAGUGUACCCGCGGCAAGACGGAAAGACCCCGUGAACCUUUACUAUAGCUUGACACUGAACAUUGAGCCUUGAUGUGUAGGAUAGGUGGGAGGCUUUGAAGUGUGGACGCCAGUCUGCAUGGAGCCGACCUUGAAAUACCACCCUUUAAUGUUUGAUGUUCUAACGUGGACCCGUAAUCCGGGUUGCGGACAGUGUCUGGUGGGUAGUUUGACUGGGGCGGUCUCCUCCUAAAGAGUAACGGAGGAGCACGAAGGUUGGCUAAUCCUGGUCGGACAUCAGGAGGUUAGUGCAAUGGCAUAAGCCAGCUUGACUGCGAGCGUGACGGCGCGAGCAGGUGCGAAAGCAGGUCAUAGUGAUCCGGUGGUUCUGAAUGGAAGGGCCAUCGCUCAACGGAUAAAAGGUACUCCGGGGAUAACAGGCUGAUACCGCCCAAGAGUUCAUAUCGACGGCGGUGUUUGGCACCUCGAUGUCGGCUCAUCACAUCCUGGGGCUGAAGUAGGUCCCAAGGGUAUGGCUGUUCGCCAUUUAAAGUGGUACGCGAGCUGGGUUUAGAACGUCGUGAGACAGUUCGGUCCCUAUCUGCCGUGGGCGCUGGAGAACUGAGGGGGGCUGCUCCUAGUACGAGAGGACCGGAGUGGACGCAUCACUGGUGUUCGGGUUGUCAUGCCAAUGGCACUGCCCGGUAGCUAAAUGCGGAAGAGAUAAGUGCUGAAAGCAUCUAAGCACGAAACUUGCCCCGAGAUGAGUUCUCCCUGAGACUUAGAGUCUCCUGAAGGAACGUUGAAGACGACGACGUUGAUAGGCCGGGUGUGUAAGCGCAGCGAUGCGUUGAGCUAACCGGUACUAAUGAACCGUGAGGCUUAACCUUACA